rnacentral:lncRNA from 1 species
UGAAAACCCAUUUUAUUGCCUCAGAACGUGCGAUUUCCAGAUCCAGAUCGAGAUCGAGCAUGGAGGCAAGUUCCAGAGAACGGGAUUGAGCACGAAUGCGAUUUCCAAACCAGGAUCGAGCACGACAUGGGCAAACUGAACAAAGUCAGGGAAGGUACCAUGGGAAAAAAUCAAAUUUAUGCCUUCCUUUCAACGGUCGAACGCUCCAACGCCUAACGCUCCAACGCCCAACGCUCCAAAUUAUCGAUUCCAGUAGAACACCGUUUUGGUGAAUUUUAGCGUUUUUGCGUUGCUGCAAAC